AUCUUUGCACAGUUGUAGUAUCGUAGCCAAUGAGAUUUAUCCAAGGUGCGAUUAUUGCUAAUUGAAAACUUUUCCCAAUAACCUGCUAUGACAACUUGAAAUAUGGUCAGCAUUGGCAAUUUUUGAUGGUCACUAUGGUAA
rnacentral:snRNA from 1 species